rnacentral:rRNA from 1 species
CAGCAGCCGCGUAAUACGUAGGGUGCGAGCGUUAAUCGGAAUUACUGGGCGUAAAGCGUGCGCAGGCGGUUGUGUAAGACAGGUGUGAAAUCCCCGGGCUUAACCUGGGAACUGCGCUUGUGACUGCACAGCUAGAGUAUGGCAGAGGGGGGUGGAAUUCCACGUGUAGCAGUGAAAUGCGUAGAGAUGUGGAGGAACACCGAUGGUGAAGGCAGCCCCCUGGGCCAAUACUGACGCUCAUGCACGAAAGCGUGGGGAGCAAACAGGAUUAGAUACCCCUGUAGUCCCUGUCUCUUAUACA